UUGGUCACCACCACAUUGGCAUGGAAUACAGGUUAACUCACUUGGAUUGUCACCGAUUUUUUGGAAAUGGAGGGAAUAAGACCAUGGAAUGAUCCCGAUGCUGUCCGAGAAGUACCCUAAUUGGUAGAUAAGGUCAACGCGUUUUCAUAUGAGAUUCUCAAUUUAAUAUUCAGUUGGUCACCACCACAUUGGCAUGGAAUACAGGUUAACUCACGUGGAUUGUCACCGAUUUUUUGGAAAUGGAGGGAGUAAGGCCAUGGAAUGAUCCCGGUGCUGUCCGAGAAGUACCCUAAUUGGUAGAUAAGGUCAACGCGUUUUCAUAUGAGAUUCUCAAUUUAAAAAAAUUCAGUUGGUCACCACCACAUUGGCAUGGAAUACAGGUUAACUCACGUGGAUUGUCACCGAUUUUUUGGAAAUGGAGGGAGUAAGGCCAUGGAAUGAUCCCGGUGCUGUCCGAGAAGUACCCUAAUUGGUAGAUAAGGUCAACGCGUUUUCAUAUGAGAUUCUCAAUUUAAAAUUCAGUUGGUCACCACCACAUUGGCAUGGAAUACAGGUUAACUCACUUGGAUUGUCACAGAUUUUUUGGAAAUGGAGGGAAUAAGACCAUGGAAUGAUCCCGAUGCUGUCCGAGAAGUACCCUAAUUGGUAGAUAAGGUCAAGUAUCAAGUAUCAAGUAUCAAGUAUCAAGUAUCAAGUAUCAAGUAUCAAGUAUCAAGUAUCAAGUAUCAAGUAUCAAGUAUCAAGUAUCAAGUAUCAA